GCCACCCCAGCACCCUCGCAGUGCUCCCAGCGCCCGCGGGGGCUCCUUCACUGUUGCAGCUGCCUGUGGGUGCCCUACCCGGCGCCAGGAAUCCGCAGGGUUGGCAGAUGGAUCGCUGCACCGGCCCUCGGGCUGAGGAACAGUGAGGCUGGGCACGGGGUGAGGAAAGCUCACUUCUACCCGCAGCCCUGCGCUGUGCCCAGCAGCACCCACCAGCGCCCGGUGCUUCCUGUUCAGCCGUGGGCCCGGGGGUGUCUCCUUGGCACUGGCCCGUCCCCCACACGGAGAGAAGCAGUUCGGGGACUGGAUUUUAGGGGGUUGCUGUGCCUUACUGGCUCCUUCCCACUUUGCGGGGGGACGUUGCCCUUCCUAGCAAUGAGGAAUCCGCUCACGGGGACACUGCCCUUCCUAGCAGUGAGGAAUCCACUCACGGGGGUACACUGCCCUUCCUAGCAGUGAGGAAUCCACUCACGGGGGGACGCUGCCCUUCCUAGCAGUGAGGAAUCUGCUCACGGGGACACUGCCCUUCCUAGCAGUGAGGAAUCCACUCACGGGGGCGACGCUGCCCUUCCUAGCAGUGAGGAAUCCACUCACGGGGGGACGCUGCCCUUCCUAGCAGUGAGGAAUCUGCUCACGGGGACACUGCCCUUCCUAGCAGUGAGGAAUCCACUCACGGGGACUCUUCCCUUCCUAGCAGUGAGGAGUCCGCUCCUUAGGACCGUCCACGGGAGCCGAGCUCGGGGCGCCUCGCCAGCCCUUCUCGUGUGCGCACUUGGCCAGUGCGUCUCCUUUCGGAGCCCGGCUCCAGCCAGCGCGCCUCACGGGGGCUGAACACCGCUCUGAGCACACCCGCCUGUGCAGGGCCACGGUAGGAAAUGGGUGUGUCGUUCCUCUGGCCUCACCUGCAACCCCUUGGGGCAUGGACCUCAUCUCCUGCGACUUCACAGUGACGCUCGCCCUCCGGAGACUCACCCUGGGCUCCCAGCGUUGCGCCCACCACCACCCUCCGCGCAUCCUGCACCAGCGACUGUGCUUCCGUGGUUUUCUUUCUCCAGCCGCUCGGCCACAGCCGGCUUCCUGCGUCUGCCCCUCAGUGUUGGGCUCCUCGGCCACUGCCCCAGCUCUCGCCCGGGCAGUUUCCUCCAUUCUCCUGCUCUCUGACACCCAGGAUUUUAUUUCCAGCCCAGAGCUGUUCUGAGUCGCUGAUGACAAGUUGAGCUGCCUCCUGGGCUGUUGUAAAGGCACUUCAAAGCCACACUUUCAAAAGGAAAUUACCACACCCAGUAAAUGUGAUCCAGGCCCAAACCUGGGCCUCGUCCUUGACACCUCUCUUUCUCCCACCCCAGCCCAAUCCGAGGGUUCACGUCCAUCCGCCUCUCCCUCCCUCCUGCCACUGCCCAGGCCGCCCUCACCCUGACCUGGGCUACAGCAUUAGCCACCUCCCAGCUGGUGGCCUGGCCUCCAGUCUUGCCCCACCUCCAGCCUUUUGUCGUGCUUCAGCUGAGUGACCUUCUAAAGGCAGCAAGGAGGAUACAAGAUCAAUAUACAGAAAUCAACUGUAUUUCUUUUGUUUUUUUUGAGGAAGAUUAGCCCUGAGCCAACAUCUGCCACCAAUCCUCCUCUUUUUGCUGAGGAAGACUGGCCCUGAGCUAACAUCUGUGCCCAUCUUCCUUUACUUUAUAUGGGACGCCUGCCACAGCAUGUCUUGCCAAGCGGUGCCAUGUCUACACCCGGGAUCCAAACCGGCGAACCCUGGGUCGCCGAAGCAGAACGUGUGCACGUAACUGAUGUGCCACUGGGCCGGCCCCCACUCAACCGUAUUUCUUUACACCUGCAAUGAACAAUCCAAAAAUGAAAUUAAAACAAUUCCAUUUACAACAGCAUCAAAAAGAAUAAAAUACUUAGGAAUAAAUUUAUCAGAAGAAGUGCAAAACUUAUUCUCUGAAAACUGAAACAUUGAAAGAAAUUGAAGAAGAUCUAAAUAAAUGAAAAGCCAUCCCAUAUUUAUGGAUCAGAAGACAAUAUUGUUAAGGAAAGAGGCUGUCAGGCUCCAUCUGCAAACGUCAGGAGCCGAGCAGGGGCGGCCUCCCAGGCCCCGCAGAGCUGUCUGGACGAAGAGGCUGUUGUUACUGCAGGACUUACUCUUUACCAAGGCUACACUGCGUUCAAGUCUGAAAGCAAGAGAGGCUGAAUGACUCCAAGAGAAAGCCAAGCAUCCUCCUGUCGUGGUCAGCUCUGAUGCUUCAAGCCUGGACCCCAGCUUAGAACGGUUACAGCAGGACCUACAUACCGCAGAGACUGGUUUUUCUUCAGGAGAUACUGGAUUAUGUACUUUUGAUAACCUUUAUAUAAUUUGGAGGAAAAAAUAUGAUUGAAAAAGACAGUUAAAACACACAGUGAUGUACACGGACUUUUCUCCUCACCCAGUUGGGAUCUGUCACACGUGAGUGCAUUUCCAUCCGGGCCAUAACGUAUUAUUGUUUACAAGAUUCCGUGGUGUGGACAGAGGAAUCCCUCACUGCUGGAGACGCAGGUUGCUUCCACUUGUUGUAAACGCUGCUGCAGUAGCAUCUUUGAAGCUGAACACUCGUGUAGAUCUCUGUUGGCUGAGGAUGGUUUCCUAGAAGUGG
ensembl:lncRNA